UUGACCUCGGAUCAGGUAGGGAUACCCGCUGAACUUAAGCAUAUCAAUAAGCGGAGGAAAAGAAACCAACAGGGAUUGCCCUAGUAACGGCGAGUGAAGCGGCAAGAGCUCAAAUUUGAAAGCUGGCUCCUUCGGGGUCCGCAUUGUAAUUUGCAGAGGAUGCUUCGGGAGCGGUCCCCGUCUAAGUGCCCUGGAACGGGCCGUCAUAGAGGGU
rnacentral:rRNA from 1 species